rnacentral:rRNA from 1 species
UACAGAGGUGGCAAGCGUUGUUCGGAUUUAUUGGGCGUAAAGCGCGUGUAGGCGGUUUCUUAAGUCUGAUGUGAAAGCCCUGGGCUCAACCCAGGAAGUGCAUUGGAUACUGGGAGACUUGAAUACGGGAGAGGGUAGUGGAAAUCCUAGUGUAGGAGUGAAAUCCGUAGAUAUUAGGAGGAACACCGGUGGCGAAGGCGGCUACCUGGACCGAUAUUGACGCUGAGACGCGAAAGCGUGGGGAGCAAACAGG